CCUAUAAUUAAAGCAUGUGUUAGAUAUUAUAUAUAUUAAAUAUUGAAUAUAUAAAAUUAAUAUACAUAAUAUAUAUUUCCAUAUGUAAAAUAUUUAAUAUGUAUCAGCCCUUGUCCUGACUGUCAAGGAACAACUUUCUACUUUAUUCCUUUUAGUAUUUUUUGUACUACUUAAUACCAUUGGUUGAAUUCUUUCAUUAACACACAAUUAUUCUUAAGUGUUUAAAUCUAACUGAAAAGUGAUCUCAGUUAUAUAUAAGAAUGGGAAUAAGAGAGGGAGGAGAGUUACAGUUCGUCACAUGCUCAAUCGGAUGUACUCCUAACGGUAGAGUUAGAAACGUGCCAGAGGCUGGCGCCGCGGCUCACUAGGCUAAUCCUCCGCCUUGCGGUGCCGGCACACUGGGUUCUAGUCCCGGUCGGGGCGCCAGAUUCUGUCCCAGUUGCUCCUCUUCCAGUCCAGCUCUCUGCUGUGGCCAGGGAGUGCAGUGGAGGAUGGUCCAAGUGCUUGGGCCCUGCACCCGCAUGGGAGACCAGGAGAAGCAUCUGGCUCCUGCCAUUGGAUCAGCACAGCGCGCCAGCCGGGGUGGCCAUUGGAGGGUGAACCAACGGCAAAAGGAAGACCUUUCUCUCUGUCUCUCUCUCUCACUGUCCACUCUGCCUGUCCAAAAAAAAAAAAAAAAAAAGAAACAUGCCUGGGGAUUCCAAUUCAAUCCCAACAAGGUGGCAUGUACCAAUGCAAUCUCACUAGUCCAAGUGAUAGGAUUAAAUGUCAAAGGGAUCACAUAAACAAGACUAGUGUCUGCUAAUACUAACUUUUAGAAUUAAAAAGGAGAGAAUGAUCCAACAUGAAAAGCGGGAUACACAGCAGACUCAUAGAAUGGCAGAUGUCCUAAACAAAACUCUGGCCUCAGAAUCAGCCCUUAAGGAAUUUGGAUCUGGCUGAAAAGCCCAUGAAAGUAUUUCAGUCAUGGAAAGCCAACACUGUUGCAAAAAAAAAAAAAAAAAGAAAAAAAGUAACCCAAAUGAAAGAACUCUGUGAGUGAGAGCCCAGCAGAAAGAAUGGGAUAACCAAAGAAGGAGGUACCUUCCUCUGAAGGGAGGAGAGAACUUUCACUUUGCUAUGUCCUUGCCUAAAUAAGAUCAGAGUUGGCGAACUCAAAAGGCUUCCAUUGCCUUGGCAACUCACGACAAGAGACUUGGGUGAUUACUGAUGUCAUAAAUAAGAGCAUCAAUUGUUAAGUCAACAACAGGAAUCACUGUGCACUUACUCACCAUAUAGGAUCUCUGUCCUUAACAUGUACUAUGUGAAUUAACUGUAUAACUACUACUCAAACAAAAUUUAAGAAAAUAGAGUGAAUCCUAAUGUGUGAAAAUAUUUUUAAAAAGAAACAUAGACAUUCAGAAAUCUCAAAAUGGAAUGAAGAAUAUGAAUGGCAAAUAUGUGAAAGGAACUCAAACAUGGGAGCAAUGACUGUAGCGUAGAGCCUGCAUUAGCGGGAAGCUGGAGUCAAGAAUCAGAUUCAGGUGUGGAACGAAGGUACUCCGAUCUAAGAUGCACUUUCUUAACAGGCAUCUCAACUGCUGGGUCAAAUGCCCACCUUUAGACCAGAAAUCUACCCACUAAGUGUUUGUUAUUUAAAUGAAGUACCAAGAAUAAGGCAAAAAGGACCACAAAUAAGUACUGUACUCCACUUGAUUGAUUUGUUUUUCAAAGAGGUAAACGACCUAAAACCACUGCACUACAUAGUCUGAAAUGAAUAAAGUAUAUUAACAGGAUGGUGAGGAAAGACUUCUCACCAUUAGUGUGGUUACAGAUAAGCAAGAAGAGAAGGCUAGCCUCAUCCACCUGGUUGAAGAUAUCAGUGUAAACUCCUGUUUAACUUAACAUAUAUGCAGAUGACUACAUACAGAAGCAUUUAUAUACCUGUAUAUGUUACACACACACACACACACACACACACACAGACAUACACUUGCUUCCCUUUCAACUGAGAGGCUCUAGAAACAAAAAUAUACCAGUAGCAAUGAGAACACUUAGCACUGAGAUCUUUGUCCUCAUUACCUUUCUUAAAUAAAAAGAACUGGGCUCCUUGAAGAAGUGCCUAACCCUAGCAUGGAGAAGGAAAUAUGUAACAUGAGGCUGAGGCAUCUUGCAAUGCUAGAAAGUAAGAAAGUACUGUAUUCAGUAUCUUCACAGUCAUGAGAGGAUGUUGAAGGGACACAAAAUUGCAACCAAAAGAACUUCUGUCUGCCAAAGCUGCUACAAUUUGGGCAACACAUAAAGCAAGCACUAUUUAAGCCCUCAAAUAUAAGGUAAAUUCUCAUGAAUCCAUAAUUAUAUGUAAAAAUCAAUUAAAUACAUGGAGAGAUAAGACUAAUUGCUUAUGCAAAAUUUUUCAAAUAAUCCCAUCGAUAUACUUACCUCUAAGAUCUCUCUCCAAAACAGAAUAACCCCAAUCUGAACACAAGAAAACACAAAUCCACACCAGUUCCACAAAGUACUUGAACAGGACUGUUCUAAACUUUGAAGUUCAUCAGACAAGACAGUCUGAGAAAAGUUCAUGUCAAAAAGAGCCUAAGAAGACAUGUCAACUAAAUGCUGUGUUAUAUUUUAGAUGGAAUCUUGAAACAGAAUAGGUUCCUUGAGUAAAACUAACAACAUUUGAAUACAGUAUGGCCUUUAGCCAUAAUAAUGUGUCAAUAUUGGUUAAUUGAUUAUAACAAAUGUACCAUAUUCAUGUAAGAUAUUAAUAAUAGGGUAGACCAAGUGUGUGGUAUAUAUGAACUCUAUUAUUUUUAUAAUUUUCCAGUAAAUCUAAAAAUAUAAAAAUAAAAAGGUAUUUGAACAAGAAAUGAAAAGAAAUACCAAACAUUCUCACCUUUGACAAACACAAACCUUGGACUGAGUCACUGCAUUCAUUUUUUGACAGCAAUUAAUAAAAUAUCAAAUGAUUUGCACUCCUAUGUAUUACUGUGAAAUUCCAGAGCACCAGAGUUUUUACAGCACAGUAUAAGUUCCCAGAGAGUGCUAAUUCAACACAAAUACACACAUACACAAACACACACUCUCAUGUAAAAAUAUAUACAUGUAACAUCAAAUAAGAGAUCAGACAGAUAUACAUAUUACUAGAGACCAGAAUAUCGUCACUUUCUUGAUGGUAAGAUGCUAGAGCAUGAUGAAAUAUUUUUAAAAUUAAAGAGAAAAUUUUUUCAACACUGUAUUCUAUUUCUAUGUAAAUUAUCAAUUGUGUCUGAGAUUAGUGCUAUCCCCAAAACAAAGAAUAUAUAUUUGUAUAUAUACAUAUAUAUAGAGAGAGAGAGCAAGAGAGAGAGAGAGACUCCAAUAAUCUACUUAAUACAUAUAGUUUGUUGGAAAGUGGGUGACAUGCUAUAAUAGCAAAGUAAGUAAAGUGUACUAUAUGAAAUUUUAGAACCAUACAAGAACAAGAACCAUACAAGAACAACCGUUCUUGUAACUUGACUUCUGAAACAGUUAUUAAAUUGUUAAAGAAGUAAUACAUUAACUAUUUUACCAUCAUCCUGGAUCUACUUGGUGAAUACAACAGAAUCAUUUGUUUAAGUAUUGUUUUUAGUUUAAAUUCUAACAACUAAAGUAAAUUGUUAAAAAAAAAAGUGGAUCCUGUGGUAUGUCCUGGAGGUACUGUUGAUGUCCUCGAGUAGUGAGGACUAAUGAAUUCAUUAAAUCACAAUCAAUUAUUUUAUAAGGAUGUAAUUUAUUUGAUUUAUAUAAGUAUUUUCCAAUUGGUGGUAAUUGGGACCAUUAAUGUAAAAAUAUUAAAAUUAAAAUAUAUAUAAAAUAUAUAUUUAUUAACAAAUUAAAACAUCUUAUUGCACUUUAAAACAUUUUAGAAAUAUAAUUUGAGUCACUUUUUUAAAAUAUGUGAAUAGCAUGAUACCAACUGAAUAUUUCUCAGUAACCACUCUCGAGCCAAGACUGCCUGUCCAUCCACAUUUUUUAAAGAUUUAUUUUAUUUAUUUGAAAGACAGAAUUCCAAAGAGAGAGAGGGAGAGACAGAAAGAAGGAUCUUCCAUCUGCUGGUUCAUUUCUCAAAUUGUUGCAACGGCCAGGGCUGGGCCAGUUGCAAGCUAGGAACUAAUUCCAAGUCUCCCAUAUGGGUGCAGGGGCCCAAGCACUUGGGCCAUCUUCCGUUGCUUUUCCAGGCACAUUAGCGGGGAGCUGGAUUGGAAGUGCAGCAGCCAGGACUUGAAUCGGCACCCAUAUGGAUGCUGGCACUGCAGGUGGAGGGUUAACCUUGUGCACCACAGUGCUGGCCCCAAUCGGGGAAGGCAUUUUGAUCUAAUGCCUGGUUAAGAUACUGGAGUGCCUGGGGUCAAUCUCCAGCUCCAGUUACUGACUCCACUUGCCUGCAUACAGGCCCUGGGAGGCAGCAGGUGAUGAUUCAAGUAAUGGAGUCCCUGCCACCCAUGUGGGAUACCUGGAUUGUGUUUCCUGGCUCCUAGCUUCAGCCUUGGCCUAGCCAUUGCCAUCAAUGGCAUUUGGGAAAUGGAUUAGCAGGUGGGAACUCUUCUGUCUCUGUCCCUGUAUGUCUCUCCACCACUCAAAUAAGUAAAUGAAAGUCAGAAACAAAUAAUAAAAUAAUAAUCGUUCAUUAAAAAUUUCAUUUCAAUAAUGAGGGAACACCCUUCAUCUUCCUCCUCAAUAAGGACUUAUGUAACUUUUUUUUUUCUUUGUGAAUUUUCUUCUCUGUAACAGCUGUGCCUUGUCCUCAAAAUAUCCCAGGGGAAUGAUUUUAGCUUGAUAGCAUCCAAUAUCCUGCUGGGUGGUAUUACUUUCAAAACUAAUUACAACACAAGCUAAAAGAAUUGCUUUGUCUCAAACUUUACACAUGAAAAAUGAGACAAAUUUGGAGUAAACACUUUACAUUCUCAUCCUGAGGAAAAAAUGGUGGUAGAGGGUGUGAGGCAAUGGAAUUAAAACAUAGAAUACUAGAAUAUCAGCCUAAAAACUGAUAUCCAUUUUUUAAAAAUACAGUCAUUCGUGUUUAUUUUUAUUUGAAAGGCAGGAGACAGAGAGGUGGAUGGAGAUAGAUCUUCCACUUGCUAGUUCACUCCUCAAAUGCCUCACACAGCCAGGGCAGGACCAUGCAGAAGCCAGACGCCCACAACUGAAUCCUGGUCUCCCACCUGGGUGCAGGGAGCCAAGCACUGGAGCCAUUUUCUGCUGCCUCUGAGUGUUUACAUUAGCAGGAAGCUGGAUCAGAACUUAGACUAGUUGUAGCCCAAACCAGGCACUCUGACAUGGGGUGCAUGUGCCCCAAAGUGCUUAUUAACUGCAUUGCUACAAACCUGCUUCUUUACUCAUUUUUAGUAAACUGUUUUGCAGAGGAGAUUAGAGGAAGGAAAGAAAAGUUUUGUAGUCAGGCAAUGGGGAAACUUGAUGUUAGUCUUUAGAAGAGGAUUAAAUGAAGAACGGAGAUGAUGGUAAUAACAUAGUUUAUGAAUUCAUAAAAGCUCAGGUGUGGAAGAUUUCUUAAAUAUAUAUUUAUUAGAUAAUGAUUUCAGAAUAUUUAAAUUCCAUAUUAAAUAUGAUUAAUGAGACAUUUCUAU